rnacentral:lncRNA from 1 species
ACAACUCAUGAGGUGAUGUAUAAUAAUUUAACCGAUCGGUUUACAACAAUCCAUUUUUUUAAAAAAUAGUUACGCGUCGAUCCAGAAAACAAUAAUGACUUGUAUUUCUGUUCUGGGAGUUCUUAGCUCUGCCAAAAGAAUAAAUGUCUCGCUAUAUUGCAUAUUUAACUUCUUCAAAUUAAACAUCUGGUAAAUAAGCCUAACCUACCCCGCCCAUGCUCAGCGAUUGUGAGAGGUUGGUUCAGGCUAUUUGGAAUUUGCGUGAUAAAUCUCAAUUACCAAGAGAUACGUUAUGGGUUUAUUUAGUCUUUGUAGGAAAUACUGAUGUACAGAUGAGGACACAUUAAUCAUAAUCAAAGUUUUAAUUAAGCUGUUGAUAGUGUGAUAUGGAUAAAACUGUCUGAAAAUACACGAAAAUGCAGCAGCCACUACCCCAACACAAAAGACCAACGAUUAUCUUGGCUAAACAAAGUUUCGUUGCCUUUUUACUUUGUUGGGAACAUCUUGUGUGUCUUUGCGGUUACUUCGCGUUAUGUAAAUGAUGUAAAUGUUGCCCAAAUCGUGGCUUCAGUCAAGGGCUUCUUAAUUAACAUCUUCCUUUACAAAGUUGUCACGACGUUGCAUACGUGCUUGAAUGAAGCUCACAUGAUUUCUUCCAAAGUUUCAAACUUCCUCUCCGGAAAACGCAUCAAAGACUGAAAAAAAAAAACAACUUGAACGAAUGAUCCAGAACUGGAGAUCUGAUCCUUUCAAUAGCGCAUGGAUAGGGUGCAGUGGCGUCACUCAGACUUGGUUAAUAGCAAAAUCACUCAGACUUUCUGGCUGCAACCUAAGCACGUUGGUGCGUGCUUGAGUUCACAAACACCCAUUUAACUCCCAAGUAUUACCAGUGGCGCUUGUUUGGUGAGAAUCAAAUGUAGGAUCUAAUGCAAGACCGUUCUUGGAAAGACCACAAAAGAUUGCUGAAUUAAACCUACGCAUGCGUUGAAAAGGACUAUUGAAGACGUCGAACCUAUCGCUGAGAUACAGACGCGAUCAGAUUACCGAAGUGUGCCGGGAGCAGGGCGUUUUAAAAAUGUUGCUUUCCGUUUCCAAAGUCGUGGUAGGGAUUUUGCUGAUCGUCAUUGUCACGGCUAAACAAAAAAGCAGACAAUAUUGGCCAAGACCAACUUCAGAUUGUGAAGUGCGAAAAGGCUUCCUCCAGAUGCAAAGUGACGGGUGCAAGUUCAAAAUUUCAACUUCUGGUUGUAGCGGCAAAUGCUUGUCGUCGGCGAAACCUUUCAGCCAUAGAAUUGGAUUUGCUUCAAGUUGCUCGUGCUGUGCACCCAUCGAAGCUACUAUCAAAGAAAAAUCAGUGAACUGCCACGGAGUAAUAAAAGUGAUUCGCUACCCAGAAGCAAAGAAAUGCGCCUGCAGACCGUGUUUAAACGGCUGACAUUAUAUAUCCGUCGUGCGAAGUUUUGAAGUGAAGCAAAGAGUUUUCGUCUUGUAAAGAGAAUGGUGCUGACGUCGCGACUUGCGUGGAUUUAAAAACAUCAACCGAGUACUAGCUCAGUAAUAUUGGAGUGGGAUUAGAGAAGAAGCCGUUAAAAAAAAAUAUAUAUAUAUAUAUAUUUAGAGUUUGGAAAAGUUUCGAAGGGCUCUUGAAAAAGACGUGAAUAUCGCCGAGCAAUAAUUAGACUUAAGGUGGAAGUUAACUUAAGACAGUUUAUUGUUGCGUUACGUGGUUUGUAAUAUACCAGGCCGUCUAUUAAUUUUGUGGUUUUACUUUUGUACCCAACUGCAUGCAGGUAACAUUGGGUUUCUUCACAGUACAUGAUAACGUGUUAUCAGGGGCAGAUAACGUUGUAUGAUUGAAAUUUAUAUAUCAUGCAAAGAGCAGCUCAUUAUUGCGCAACAGCGUGCAAUCUUCUUGGAAGCCGGUUUCGCAGGGAAGCACGAUUAACUGAAAACAUGGUAAGAAAAAUCGUUACGGUCAAUUUUUAAUAUCAAAUAGGUUGAUGUCGUUAAGAAUAUUUGCGAGCUAUAGAGCUAUGCAUUGAUCUUGAGAUGUUUUUCAUUGCAAAAGGCAAUUAAAAUUAACAUGAAUUAGACCGAUGUUGCCUACGGCGUGUUGCGGUUCCAUGAGCAAUUUACGUUUAGUUAAUUUUGUUCUUUUUCGCAGACAUCAAAUGUCGUUUGUUGAAACAAAAAGGCAAAGCAUAAUAACAAACCCUAUGGUCAACGCUAGGUCACUUAGAGGUUAUAAAACAGCGAAACCAACGGCGUAUAAACUGUGUGCAUAAAGGGAGGUGAUUAUAUGUAAAAGGGAUUACCUGUGUAUAGAUUUAAACGGCUUUGGACACUUCUAAAUAUUGUAAAUCAAUUUCUCUUAUUAAGUCUAAGUAAUAAGAAACAUAACACUAGUGUAAAUAUUUUCCAUAGAACUGAUCCCAGUUCUUCAUGUACAGAGGCAGUCGGCUUAUAUGACGCUGCAAACUGAUAAAUAGUCCCGAAUGUAGGCGGAAGACUAAUUGUUCAUUCACAAUUUAUGAUGACUGAAACACAAUAUGAAUAAUGGAUUUAAAUAGCAACCUAAAGGUUGUAAGCAAGAUAACGUAUAUAUAAGACCUAAACAGUAUGAAGUAUCACGCAAGUUGAAAAGAACAAAAAAAAUAAAGCACGUAAUUUGUUUAAACUGUA